CUGCUCAAUGAUAUUUUAAAUAGCCGCAGAAUUUCUGUGCUAAGGUAGCAUAAUCAAUUGUCUAUUAAUUGUAGACUAGAAUGAAGGAAAAAAUAAUUAAAAGCUUUAAUUUUUAUAUAAAUUUAAAUUUAAAAUCAAAUAAAAAUGUUUGAAAGAAAUUUAGGGACAAGAAGACCCUAUAAAGCUUAAUAUAGAAAUAUUUAGUAAAAAUAUUAUAUAUUUAAUUGGGGCAAUUAAUUAUUUUUAAGAAAUAUAAAUAAAAUUUAUAAAUUAAUAUUUUUAGUAAGGAUCCAUAAAUUAUGAAAAAUUGAAAAAGUUACUUUAGGGAUAACAGGAUAAUUUUAUUUGAAAAGUUCUUAUUAUUAAAUUAGAUUAUUACCUCGAUGUUGAAUUAAUUUAUUAUUAUGGUGAAGAAGCUAUAAUUAUUUAACUGUUAGUUAAUUAAAAAAUUACG
rnacentral:rRNA from 1 species